rnacentral:rRNA from 1 species
UACCAGCACCCCGAGUGGUCGGGACGAUUAUUGGGCCUAAAGCAUCCGUAGCCGGUUUUACAAGUCCUCCGUUAAAUCCGGCUGCUUAACAGAUGGGCUGCGGAGGAUACUAUAAGACUAGGAGGCAGGAGAGGCAAGCGGUACUCAGUGGGUAGGGGUAAAAUCCGUUGAUCCAUUGAAGACCACCAGUGGCGAAGGCGGCUUGCCAGAAUGCGCUCGACGGUGAGGGAUGAAAGCUGGGGGAGCAAACCGG